CACACACACACACACACACACACACACACAAUUGGGAGAGCUGUGUUGCAUCUUCUCACAGAAACCCCUUCAAGGUGAAUAUCAGAUAUUCCCUUGCUCUUCCCCACCCCCACAGCAUCCAUAUGUUUCCAGCCUCACUCCCCCUCCGCCCCUCUGCCCUCCCACCCCGAGCCAGUCUCCCACAGCAUCAUUUCUCCUGGGAGCAGCUCACCCCCACCCUCUGCCCAGACCACCUCAGGGCCAAUCUCUGCCUGCCCAGAAGACAUUAAGGGCCAGUUUGGAAAUUAUUUUUUCCCUCAACACAAUCAAAUUAUUAGUCUUAACUCCUUCCUCCGCUAGUCUCUGCAGGCAGGUAAAGAUUCACCAUCCCUUUGAUAUGAAUUAUGCCACCCCCUUGGAAGGCAGAAGGGCUGGAAUAAUUUCGUUGGUUGUUUAAAUCACAGCUUUUGCCUUCCUGCUGCUCAAGUUUAAGUAUAGCCCAGAGAUGUUUUCAUUGGCUCCACCUGCCUAGUUUGAAAUAUCUUCCCCCCUCUGGCUCCACCCCUCCCUCCUCAGCACCUCCUGAGCCCUAUCCUAUGACCCCGAUACACGUGCUUUCUCAAAACAGCUCAGGCCUGUUUCCUUAUUUCCCAGUGCUUGCUGUUUCCAAGUUGGAGAACCAGCCAUGGGGACCAUAGGAAGGCCCUAUUCUCACUCCUCCUUAGAAGUCCUAGGAUCCUUGCUGUAUACUUGGGUCACUCUGUCUCUAUGAGGCUGAGGGUUUCACAGUGUGCGAUUCCAACCCAGGGCCCCUGCAACCUUACAUGGCCAAAGAAUCGUGAGCCCCAGCAAGUCUCACCACAGGGGCACCCAGCUGAUGCGAAGUCUCAAGAAAUGUUCACAGGUCUACAUUAGAGCUCCAGAGCCUUCUGGAUCCUGGAGGGAAGCAGUCUGAAUGGAAUUUGGUCCCCCAAAUGUUACAGCCACAUCCUGAGUGACUCUCCCUCCGUCACGGUGGCCCAGCCACACCGGCCUUCCUCCAGCCCCUCAGAACCCCAGCAUCCUAGACCACCAAGGCCAGGAGCCGGGACAGCCUCUGCCUCCACAGGUAGAGAAACGUGCAUGGAUUCAGAGUAUGUUUGGAGGCAGAAAUGGUCAGUUGUUGCAAUAAAUAUGGCAUUGGUGAGGGUGCUAAGCCGGCGGGAACCCUCUAGUCUAGUCUAGGGCCGUCCUCACCAGCACUCAGGCACUUCUUUCUGGCCCUAUACAUGUCAUUGAGGCUCAGCCAGCCUCGGGGGAAGGAUGGUCAGGGAGAAUGAAGACUCACCGAACUUUGCUACCAGUUUCAAAGACUCCCUCACAGUGAUGUCAGAAGGUGAGGAACAGCUCCCAGCUGGGCCCACUGAUCUAAUUUCAGGAACCCCCUCUUCUAAGAGACCAUUCAUACUCAGCUUGUUCUCCAACUCCCAGAGGCCUUCUGGCUGUUUUCCUGCUUCAGAUCUCCACUGACCAGCCCCGGCAGCUUUUCUGCCAAGAAGAGAGAGGUGGCUGAUGAAAACCAUAUGUCUCUAAGUAAGUGGAAGUGAGGAGCCCUGCUUUGUUGUGCGAGUAUGUUGAUAUGGCUCCUGGUCUCCCGUGCAAUGGAAAAUCUCUAUUUUAAAGAAUACAAUGUUUAAGAGGCACUCUGAGACAAGCCACAUUUCGCAAUUAAGUAGUUUACAAGGUCAGCAAAGGAAGGACAAAAUAAACCAGCUGAAAAAGGUCUUGCUCAAUACCAAAAUUUGUUUAAAAGUUCAAUGCUACAGUCCGAAACUGUAAUAUAGGCUUGUUAUGGAGUGUUACAAAAAUAGCCCAAAAGAUGAGGCUCUUUGUGGAUGGAGAAACAAUUAAAAAUGUUUUAAGUAUUGGUUCAGAUACUGAUUUCUUAAUGUUUAAAAAAAGUAACUUAAAAAUGCAAACUACAUCAUUUCUUUCUUUUUUUUUUUUUUUACUUUUUCUAAACUGACCCUGGAGGCAAAGUAAACCCAGAGACACAAACAGAACGAACUACUGUUCAUUCUUUGCGGAACAAAAUUCAAAUUUCUUCAUCCAGCAUUCAAAUUCCAGCAUACUGUGGUUCCAACUGGCCUUCUCUGAAUUUUUUGCACAGAAUGCUGCCGCUGGCCCUGCCAGCCCCACACCCCGCCCUCCAUCCUGUUUGCAGGCUGCCAACUGUGAGGUUUCACAGGGCACUUACCUGCCCCUGAGGUGCCCUUCCUUCUGGCUGAAUGAAAAAAUGUUAGCCAUUCUUCGAGGGUAUUAGUUGCUGAAUUCUAUCCAUGCCACUUUAAUUUCCAUUUGAUUCUGGUGUAUAGAUUGCAGUUCUCUGGUGAAAUUCUCCCUCUUGUAAUCGAUUUUCUUGACCAUUUAAAUCACAGUUAUUUAAAAGUCUGUCAGAUAACUCCACUAUCUGGAUCACCUGUGGGUCUGUUUCUAUUAUAGAGAUACUCUUUUUUUGGACUGUGCUGGGUCUUUGUAGCUGCAUGCAGGCUUUCUCUUAGUUGUGGCAAGUAGGGGCUGCUCUCUCGCUGUGCUGCACAGGCUUCUCACUGCAGUGGCUUCUCUUGUUGCCGAGCAUAGGCUCUAGGAGCACAGGCUUCAGCAGUUGUGUUGCCCAGGUUUAGUUACCCCACAGCGUGUGGCAUCUUCCCGGACCAAGGAUCAAACCCCUGUUCCCUGCAUUGGCAGGCAGAUUCUUAACCACUGGACCACCAGGGAAGUCCAGAGAUAUGUUUUUGGCUCUGACCGAUGUUGUUUCAUCAGAAAGGAUUUACUUCGGCUUUCUGGAAGGCAGUUCAAGCAUUGGAAGGCCAUCUUUAUCCAGCCUGGGGAUGAGCUGGCUUGAAGCUGGUGAUCAGACUUUGAAGGCUGUCUGUUUCUGACUCACGUAGGCUCUUAGCGCUUCACUCUUCUGGGGUUCUCCCUGAGAAUCUGGUUGUGUUUUAGAGUCCCUCCUCUUGGGUGGGCCUUUGAGUUCCAGUUUACUUCCCCAGCCCCAUCUUACUGCCCCAACUCCAUUCAGCUUUCUGGUCUCUCAGUCAUGCCUCCUACUCAGCCUUCCCUGCUCCAGCUGAUGCUGCUUCUGAAUCGGCACAUGCCUUCGGGGAAGAGGGACUGGGAACUGGGAACUAACCAACUGUACUUCUGUUCUCUUUCUCAGACAUCUUGCUCCUCAAGUCCCACUUGCCUGGGUAUUUUGAACUCCAAAAUUUUCUCCUUACCCUAUGAGAUCUCCAAAACCUCUAAUUCAAGUUCUCUAACUCAGUUCACCAUCACUUACUGCUUGUUUUUAGUCUCUUGGCCCCAUGCUGCUCAUGAGCCAGGGAGACCUUAAGGGUAAAUGUAGCACCGAAUGUCACCUCCAUAUGCUCCCAAGUCUCUAGGAUCCUGACCUUUCAAAUCCCAACUGCCUGUAAGCAGAUAGCUUUUGGAUUUUGUCCAGCUUACUCUUGGUGAGAGAACCAGUCUCUAAAGAGCCACCCUGAUGUUACAAGAAGUGCAUCCUCUAAUCGCUUCUUUAUAAUAUAAGCUCCCUGAGGGCAGAGAAUGUGUCUCCAUCACAAUUGUGGUCGCAGGAGGAUCUCACUCACAAGAUCUGAGUAUCACCUACGCUGGAACAUUUCCAAAUGUCUGUCUCCAGCUCAGAGAUCUGUUUUAAGCUCUUAGCCCCAUGGACCAAACUGCCACUUGUCAUCUCCAGGAAGCUGCUUCACAGAAACUCAAGACAUCCAAAGUCACGUUCUUCCCCGACAUCUGUUCUUCGCUGGGGCUCCCAGGCUCGGGAAGGGGUGUGUCCUCCAUCUACCCUGCUGCUUAUGUCAGAAUCCCAAAGGUCCCCACUGGCAAUCCGCACCCACCUCCCGCCCACAUCCAACCCCCCCAGUGCUGCUGAUUCCACCUGAAAAUGUCACACAAACUCAUCCAGCUCUUUCUCGCCACUGCUGCCCUGUCCCAGCACUGUUCCCCCCUCCCUCGUUACUCAGGAGUCUCCUCACAUUCCUCCACAGAGCCAGGCUGGCCUCCGUCCAGCAUGUUCGCCAGCCACCCUAGGAGCAGAAUGACCCCUUGAACACAAAAAUCUGAUUAUGUCAUUCCUCGGCAUAACACCCUUCAAUGACGUCCAUUGCUCUGAGGAAAGCUUUGAAGAUAAACCCUCAUGGAGUCACCCACCCCGUGUGUUCAAACCCCAACCCCUCUCCCAGUCUUGCUUUGCCUGACUCUUGCCCUUGACACACAUUCCACUCUUAAGCCCUUCUCAACUCUGCCAGCACCUUCUUGAGAUCCUUUCUGCCUGGUGGCUCCCCUGCCAGAAGACACCCUUCUCGUCCCCUGUCUGAUUCUCUUCUGUGCAUCCUUCAGGUCUCUGCUAAAUGUCCCCUUCUCAAAGGAGCCUCCCUGACCCCUAGAAUUGGUUAGGCGUUGUCACUGUGUCCUGCACUCUUCGCAGCACCAGCACGGAAACAACUGCAGAGUUAACCAAGCGAUUACCAAUUACGCUCCUCCCCAUCAGAUGCCAAUCUCCUUAAGGCCAGGGCUAUAUUUGUCUUGAUCACCACCACAUGCUCAGCACCAGCAAAGUGCCUGAGAUAUCUUAGAAGAUUUGUAAAUAAUUUUUUGAAUCAGGGAAUAAAAGAUAGAAGUCCGCCGGCACCCCGCCACCCCUACUCUGCCAGCCACCGAGCAGAACGCGGUGCAGGGAGAGAGAGGGAGGCUGGAAUGGGGUUUCUAGUUAGCAAGUGUCUCUGAGAGCGUGACUCUAAAAAUAAAGAAUGCUAAAUUGCUGUCUAAUGCCUCUUCUUUUGCUGGGCUUAACGCACUGGCCUGGGAGCCAGUAGAUUCGGGUUCCAAUCCCAGGUCUGGCACAAAUCAUGACAAAUAGCAUUUUUAUAAUGCUUCACAGUUUACAAGACAUUUCCACAGAUAGGAUCUCAUUAAACCAGCUCGAUGACCUCGGGCAAGCAGCUUUUAGAGGCCUGUUGGGAGGGAGGAGACCUGGGAAGGCGCUGGGUUCCAGAACCCACUCUGCCUCAACUCCCCAAGGGAUCUCUCGAGAGUUCCCUGCCCAGCCCCAAGUCUACUGUAAAAUGAAGGGGACCAGCGAGGUGAUCUUUGAGGUUUGUCUAUAGGAAUUUAGAACUAAAAUUUCAAGACGGCUCCCCAGUCAGAAUGCAGAAUCUUUGGAGUGUCCUUUUUUCUCAUGUAGCAGGGCAGCGUCCCAAGAGGUUCCCAACAAUGCCUUGAGUGUCCUGGCAAGGUGUCCUUAAAAGUGGGACUGAAACCAGCAUUUUUGUGCAGUUGGUUUACUUGAGAGCUGAUCCCAGGACACACGAGUGAGAGGCUGAGGAGAUGGACAAAGAGGAAGAGCCCAGUUGGGAGUGUUUGUCCAGGUCACUCUGUUUCAAGGGCUGUGACCUUGACCUCAUCAGGCCCUGCUGAGAAGCCACAGAACGCUUCCACAGCUGUCACCCAGCCAUGCUGGCAGGGGACCUUUCUUUAUCAGUUCCCACCUUGACUGGUGGAUGGUCGUCCCCCGCCCCUUGGAG